CAGAUUUUGACCCUCACACAUAUAAAGACUUCAUGUCAAUUCUCAUUACGGCAUUCAGGGCCUAUGUCAAGAAUCACAAAGGAAGGCAUGAUCCAGGUCUGGGGAGCCACUUGCGUUUCAAAUCUCUAUGUUCGUUUCCCAAGCAAAGGCCAGGGAGUCUCCAUUGUGGAUACUAUGUAUGUGCUUUCAUUAGUAACACAAAAGGCUA